rnacentral:rRNA from 1 species
GACGAACGCUGGCGGCGUGCCUAACACAUGCAAGUCGAGCGAGUGAAUCUCCUUCGGGAGUGAAGCCAGCGGCGGACGGGUGAGUAACACGUGGGCAACCUGCCUCAUAGAGGGGAAUAGCCUUUCGAAAGGAAGAUUAAUACCGCAUAAGAUUGUAGCUUCGCAUGAAGUAGCAAUUAAAGGAGCAAUCCGCUAUGAGAUGGGCCCGCGGCGCAUUAGCUAGUUGGUGAGAUAACGGCUCACCAAGGCGACGAUGCGUAGCCGACCUGAGAGGGUGAUCGGCCACAUUGGGACUGAGACACGGCCCAGACUCCUACGGGAGGCAGCAGUGGGGAAUAUUGCACAAUGGGGGAAACCCUGAUGCAGCAACGCCGCGUGAGUGAUGACGGCCUUCGGGUUGUAAAGCUCUGUCUUCAGGGACGAUAAUGACGGUACCUGCAGAAAAAGCACCGGCUAACUACGUGCCAGCAGCCGCAGUAACAC